UCAGAUUCUUUCUCUCUCCACUCUCUCAUCCCUCUCAUUCCUUUGCAAGCGCAGACAUCGAGCCACCAUCACCAUCCCGGUGAGACUUCAACAUCCACAUCCUAUCAUCACUACCUGUUUAUAUGACCAGAAACGAAGGGCCGAGCUUGGAGUUGGCUUCUCACUCUAAAUAGUGACAAUCACUGUUCAUCGUUUUCCCUAACGAAUCAUGGCAAAUUAUCGCUAUUCUUGACAGAAGAUGCAAAAAAGACGCAGAGUUAACAAACCCAAUUUAAGGCGAGGGAUGCCACAAGUUGUAGGCCUUUUCCGGUGAACUCUGGCCAUGACUGAUCCGGGGAAAGGUACAAUUAACAUCGGCAAUCCAUAUUUACUCGUAUGAACGGCUACGACUUUGCAAGUAUCUGUGAGUAGG